rnacentral:lncRNA from 1 species
UAAGGUCAGGCCCAUUAGGGCAGCUCAUAAUCUGAAGGCUUCUAGGCCCCCUCCAAGAACCAGGUCCAGUCCAUUCUAUUCAAAGACCGGGCUUCAGUCCGUUUCUUCAAAACAGGCCGGCUUAGCUCUUCCGGCCCGAUGGACAGAUCCUCUCCGGGCCUAGUCUCAACCUCAUCCCCCGGCCCAGCUCAGAAUCAGGAAGGAGUUCAGCCCCUUCGCCUUGUGGGACCAUCCGCAUGCACGCCUGGG